GGACUCGUCACACCUGCAGGCUUGUAGCUCCUGCAGGUGUUGGAGUGCCACUUGAAAGCCUCCUCACGGCUGACGAUGAGAAGAGGCAGAGAGAGACGAGUGGAAUCAGAGAGAUUUCGGAGCUGCUGCUGAUCGGCGGAGGGGACAUCAGAUGUGCCUUCAUUAAAGAGUUCUCUCCAUCCUGAGAGAACCACUUAUCCAGCACUUGUCAGAGGAUGUCAUUAUCUCGUCACAUGACAGUGUGAGUAAGAGAGACGCUCCUGCUGGGCGAGAGAUGGAGGCGACCUGGCAGGGUUACAGGAUAAUGAACAUGUCAUGACAACUGCUUCAUGGUCAGCUGGAUCGUCACAGGAGACCUCUUCGCCUCGCAAGCUCCGGAAGAAACACACUAUACUAUACCUGCACCACACAAGAAUUCCUGUGGCAGACUUUGCACCUGACACACGAGGCCUUUUAGCCUUUAGGGUAGCUGGAUCACAUUGUCUCUCUGUUACAUCAAGGUACCAUAUCCAGGAAGAUAAAGGUCAUUGAGCCAUGCUGUAAUAAUUGUCAGCACCAAAGGAUACUACAGCGGGGGAGUCAGAGUCGAAGCAGGGGUCAAAAAAACCAGGAGAACGGAAUAUCUACGGUACAAAGGGAACAGGCACCUGUAGGGAUUCGGACAGCGAGGCGGAAGCUUCAGGGCUGAGCAAUGUCUUGCUGGAAAGGUGGAGGG
rnacentral:lncRNA from 1 species